rnacentral:lncRNA from 1 species
GAAUAUACAUAUGAUGAAUCCAUAUCUUUAUGUAUGAAUUUUCAAUUUCUGUAUAAGUAUUUUAUUAAUAUAACAUAAAUUUUCCUUUUAUACAUUUCCUAUGAUUACUAUUACAUGUUUUGUUAAUUUAUAUGAUAUUACAUAAGUCUUUUAUUAAUAUUUAAUGUUNUUAUUUAUUUUNACAGAUAUAUGGNUGAUCAUCCACAUUCUUCAGGGGAUGAGGCUCCCCCAACC